GACGAACGCUGGCGGCGUGCUUAACACAUGCAAGUCGAACGAGUGGCGAACGGGUGAGUAACACGUGGGUGAUCUGCCUUGCACUGCGGGUUAAGCUUGGGAAACUGGGUCGAAUACCGGAUAGUGCAAGAUGAGCUCGCGGCCGAUCAGCUUGUUGGUGGGGUAAUGGCUACAUAGGCGCGACGGGUAGCCGGCCUGGGAGGGUGUACGGCCACAUUGGGACCGGGAAACGGACCAGACUGCGACGGGAGGCAGCUGUGGGGAAUAUUGCACAAUGGGCGGAAGGCUGAUGCAGCGGCGCCGCGGGGGGGAUGAAGGCCUUCGGGUUGUAAACUCCUUUUGGCAGGGACGCGGUACCUGAAUAUGAAGCACCGGCUAACUACGUGCCAGCAGCCGCGGUAAUAC
rnacentral:rRNA from 1 species